rnacentral:rRNA from 1 species
UAAGAUUGACCUCGGAUCAGGUAGGGAUACCCGCUGAACUUAAGCAUAUCAUAAGGGAGGAAGG